UGCUGCACCCGGGGGAGAGGUUCGGACCGCGGCGUUUCAGCCAGUCUUGAAGGGAUGGACUGUUAAGGGGUGAAUGGAAAAAAAAAAAAAUGUGCUGCAUCAGUACAAUGGAAUACUACCUGGUACUAACAGGAAUCACCUACUGAAACGCUUCCAUACAGAUUGCCACAUCCUCCUAUACUGAGAGUGAAUCAAGAAAAGGCAAACACACAGAGACACAUGGACAGAGAAAAGCUGGGCUUGCAUGGUCUGUGCUCCAGAAUGGAGAAGCCACAGCCCCCUGGAAGCUAGAGUGGAAGACCAGCCUGGAUCACAAAAGGAGACAAGGAGACUGGCCCCCAUCCCCAGUGCAAAGAAGGGAAAGAGGAAAGAAAAACAGCUGUCCGCUCAACAGACUAUCUCACCACCGCAGAUUAUCCAUAACAACCCUAAGAAACUAUCUUCAUUUACAGUUUCAGAAUGGUGGUCUGCAGUUAUAUUGUUCAUCACUUGAGACUCUACCCAGCAGACAACAGCAGACAUGCUCUUCCUUGCGACUUUAACCCACGUAUGACAAUAUUCAAAUCGUAACCACCUACUGAAGAAGAGAGGGGAUUAAUCAGAUUGGAGUUCUGCAAAGGCUGUAAUUCCACUGCGUAUAACAACUCCAAGUCACGCCAACGUCAGCAACUCAUUUAAGACAUCAGCUGCAGAGGACUGGCGAUAUAGCUUGGAAUCAGACAAUGUGAGCGUUCCGAUUUAAGCUUUAGGGUUUACUAAAAUGUAUACCCUUUGGACUGUGCAUUAUACAAUGAAAUCCUGACAUAAUACAGCAAGUGAAGAAAAACGGUAA